UACGGCCAAAUCUCAUUAGAACACCAGUUCCAAUACAAUCACUGAAGUUAAGCAAUGUCAAGCCUGUUUAGUACCUAGAUGUGUGAUCACUUGAGAAUACCAGGUCCUGUA